CCCAUCGACAACAAAUAAUUAAAAUUUUGUGACGGGGCAAAGGCUCCCGUGUGUGGCAGCAUACCGGAAAGGCUGAGUUGAGUCAAGCCUUGAUUCUUUUGCUUGUCGCGGAGUACAAUCCGGCUAACGGUGCAAUUCCUACCACCAGGUGAAGGUUACUUGCACUAAACAGUAAUAUUAGUUUUUCUUUGCAGAUAGAUAGAUAGAGAAUACUGUAUUGUAAUACUCGCAGGCAUCAGUCGGUGUUCAUGCUGCGGCACAGAAGAUAUGUGUCAGUCCAAUUAUGAUUUCAACACGUGAAACUGGUUUAAAUUACACAACUGCCCAUUGAAUGUUAAUAUCACGAACAUCAAUAUCUACAUACCGACUUUAAUCAAGUCUACCACUGCUCGCUCGAACAAAUUGUAAUCCCUCCAGCCGUAGUAGGACAGACACAAGCCGCCCGUCCGCUUUCAAAUCACGUUCAACAAAAUAAAACUUGUCAUUUGCCACAAAUGACACUCAACCCGCAGAUUGGCUCAUGGGUAAGCCAGUUAGCAGCUGGCCCUGUACUGUUGCCCUGGCAAGAACCAGAUUGAUACGUGAAACAUUCAAAAGGAGUUCUCUACAGCAUCAAUCUGGGACAGUUCCAACGUGAUCUGCUCGGGAAAGGCGGGACAUUGAGAACAAUACUUGCAGCAACUUGUGCACACCGACCAAACUUUUGUUCCGACCAACCCCCCGCCAGCAUGCGCCUUGUUUUGACUAGCUGAGUUGUUAUCUCGAUGAUUGGCACAGAUGGCAUCCUGGCGCUGAAUGAUGGUUGUCACUGUUGCACUGUAACUAUGCGGUUAAAGGCCUUCUUAAAUAACACGACGUUGAUUUGUGAACUAAGCCGAUUGCCAACCGGGAAAAGUUUUCGUCACAACCGCAUAUUCCGCCCCGAGACACACUGUUGCUUUGUGUUGGCUGUAGUACAAAUCAGCAGUCUUGGGACAAUAUUGAUUCAUGGGGUGUUGUGACCACACAAACACUGCGAGAAUUCCGCUCGCAGGCAUGGUUACAACACUGUCAACCUCCUAAAUUAGCAGGCCUGAGGAUUUCACGCGGGAGGAAACCACAAUACCCAUGGACGUAAGCACAGGCAGAACAUCCAUCAUGCAAACCCAUGGGAAGAACUGACUCACGUAUGAACAAAACCUCGAAAGGUGCCACUCCCUGCUGAAAGCGACUCUGGAAUCGGGCGAUGCACACAAGAAUAUAUGUGAGGACAGAGGAUGCAAAAGUGAAUAUGGGUACAGUUGUGUCACGAGCCAUUUCCUGUCUGGACUGACGUCACGAUUGAGAACUUAGGAAACAUCACUAUGACUAAUAACACGCACACAAACACGUAAAAGGGGCAUCAACGUAUGACUUUUAUUUAUUUAUUUUUUUAACCGUACCUGCUCUGAUGAGUCCUGUCAGAUUCAGUGGCUGAAAGUUGGGACACAAAAACGUGGAAAAACGAACGUCUCCCGUUGACACCUUUGUCGAACCUGCCGCUCCCAGCACUCUUCUUGCUCGACGCCAUGUUCGCACGCUCCUUGUUGACUCGCCGCCGCCGCCAGCCUGCAAGCGGGCAAGACCUCUCCCGACCUGCCUCGCGGGGCGCCGAAGCUCCGCCCAUGCUGGCUUCGCUAUAGCCAAUGGGAGACGACGUCUCUGCACGGCAGCCAAUCGUAAUAGCUGGAUUUCUUCAUGCACAUUGGCAACCAGAUCCUGGUAGAGGCUCGCUGCCUUGUCACAAUCAUCCAGAUUGAGGCCCUGUGGAUGAAAGUCAACAUCGAAUAAUCAUCAUAUUAAACAAAAUAUGUACAGAUUUGGAAAACACUUGUCAAGGCCUUUACUCAGGCUAGUCACGUAAUAUGUUUUUUUUUUUUGCAAACAGAUUUUUCACCUUGCUGGAAGUUAACUUUGACCUAAUGUAAUCACCAGAAAUGCCACAAAAAAAAA